GAGGCCAAAGGCGGGACCGGGAGGAGGGAGGCGGGACUCCGAGCAGACGGGGCGGGGCCAGGGCGAAGGGGCGGGGCCAGGCGCGCGAGCCUCUUCACGUGCCCCGAGCCCGCCGGAAUCUUCCCCGCCGAGGUGGCCUCGCCGGCCGGGGUCUGAGGAGCCGAGCGGCCCCUCCUCGGCGGCGUCCGCUCUCCCUUGGCUCCCGCCCGCCUCCCGGCUCCGACCCUCCGGAGCCCGCGUUCCUUUCCCGCGCGGCCGUCGUGAGGCGUGUGCCCGCGUUCCCGCGUGGGUCCCGGCGAUGUCGGCGUGGGGCUCAUCGCCCGCGGUCCUGGGUCUCGCGUCCCGCCCGCUCCGCCUCCUCCUCCUGUUUCAGCUGGUCGCGGGGCGCUGGGGCCCGGCCGGCGCUGGGGGCGGCGCGCCUGGAGGGUUAGCCGAACCAUCCUUUGUUGCAAAACACGAAGAUAGUUUGUUAAAGGAUUUAUUUCGAGACUACGAAAGAUGGGUUCGUCCUGUGGAACACCUGAAUGACAAAAUAAAAAUAAAGUUUGGCCUGGCAAUAUCUCAAUUAGUGGAUGUGGAUGAGAAAAAUCAGUUAAUGACAACGAAUGUCUGGUUGAAACAGGAGUGGAGAGAUGUAAAGUUAAGAUGGCGCCCUGGCGACUAUGGCGGAAUAAAAGUUAUACGCGUCCCUUCAGACUCUCUCUGGACCCCAGACAUUGUUUUGUUUGAUAAUGCAGAUGGACGUUUUGAAGGGGCCAGCACGAAAGCGGUCAUCAGGUAUGAUGGCACUGUCACCUGGACUCCACCGGCAAACUACAAAAGUUCUUGCACCAUAGAUGUCACGUUUUUCCCAUUCGAUCUCCAAAACUGCUCCAUGAAAUUUGGUUCUUGGACUUACGAUGGAUCACAGGUUGAUAUAAUUUUAGAGGACCAAGAUGUGGACAAGAGAGAUUUUUUUGACAAUGGAGAAUGGGAGAUUGUGAGUGCAACGGGAAGCAAAGGAAACAGAACGGAUGGCUCCUGCUGGUACCCUUAUGUCACCUACUCAUUUGUAAUUAAGCGUCUGCCUCUCUUUUACACCUUGUUCCUUAUUAUACCCUGUAUCGGGCUCUCGUUUUUAACCGUGCUUGUCUUCUAUCUCCCCUCAAACGAAGGUGAGAAGCUCAGUCUCUGCACGUCAGUCCUGGUCUCUCUGACUGUCUUCCUUCUGGUUAUUGAAGAGAUCAUACCCUCGUCUUCCAAAGUAAUACCUCUGAUUGGAGAGUAUCUGGUGUUCACCAUGAUUUUUGUGACGCUGUCAAUCAUGGUGACUGUCUUCGCUAUCAAUAUCCAUCAUCGUUCUUCCUCAACACACGAUGCAAUGGCACCUUGGGUCCGCAAGGUAUUUCUCCACAAGCUUCCCAAACUGCUGUGCAUGAGGAGUCACGUAGACAGGUACUUCGCUCAGAAAGAGGAAACUGAGGGCGGUAGUAGACCAGAGUCUUCUAGAAACACAUUGGAAGCUGCGCUUGAUUCCAUCCGCUACAUUACAAGACACGUCAUGAAGGAGAAUGACGUCCGUGAGGUGGUUGAAGAUUGGAAAUUCAUAGCACAGGUGCUUGAUCGGAUGUUUCUAUGGACUUUUCUUCUGGUUUCAAUUGUUGGAUCUCUUGGGCUUUUCGUUCCUGUUAUUUAUAAGUGGGCAAAUAUAAUAGUACCAGUUCAUAUUGGAGAUGCAAAUAAGUGAUCCUUCCGUAGUGGUGUCCUAGUAGGAAUUUAGUUACCAAAGGCACCUAUGCCUCUGGCACCCUUAAAAUUAGAAAAUGGAAAUUGUGUUUAAAAUUUGAAGCAAGCUUUGUCAGAUUAACAGUUGCUAACUUUGGUUUAUCUUAAUAGACUGCCCUGAGAACAUUUUACCUGCAUGACUGAAGUGAUAGCUGACUCAGCAUUUGAGCUAAAAAUAGCAGCAAAAUGUUAUCUGAACUGUACUAGUGAAAACCUAAUGUUGGUGUCCUGGCAAACAGUACCAAUUCGUAAUCAACGGUGAAGCUCAUCUUUUGAUUGUAUUGGAAAGUUCCUGUUGUAUUUGAAGACUGAUUUCAGGACUUUUUCUGCAUUUGGUAAAGGUCUCGUCUCCCUGCAAUACCCACACUCUCCUUUUAUGCAGAGACCGAUGUACCAAGUCCUGCAUCUGAGAGAGCAGCCGGCCCUCAAGUGGUGGCCUUGCCCGGGGCAGGCUCCACACAUGUCCCUGGGUCAGCUCUGCUGGCGGCAUAGAGUUCAGACCCUUUAGAAGGAGCCACCACCCAUCUGCCUGAAGAGCUGACGCACGUGACAGACCCAAACAUGCAGGGAUCUCCGUGUGUUCCUGCCGUGAUUUAGUAACACGUGGAGACAGGAGGGGACGUGUCCUGCCCAUGUCCUCCAUCUGCUGUCUGGCCCUCCCCUUCCUGUGCCUCCGUGGAGCAGGACAGUUGCUACCAGUUAAGACCCCAGGCUGCCGCCUCCCUUUUGUCUGGUCGGCCGGUUUGUCCAGAGGGGCCCUGCUGGCUUUGUUCGUGUUCGGUCCUCACAACAGUCCUGCUGUGCCCUCCGUCCUCACAUGGUAAGGGGAGGGGUGCGGGGAGGGCCCACGCCGCAGCCCUCACUGCCUUGGAAGACAGUGUCCUGGGUCAACAAAACGUCAGGACAGAAGGGGACCUCUUAGGGCGGCCCGCAGGCCUGCCCCUUCUGUGAAGACAUUUACAGGGAGGCUGCUUUCAGAGGCAGAGGCCAGCCCACAGAUGUAAAACACUGACCCAGUCCUUCACAGGAGCCCCAUGCCAGCACCUGCCUUAGUCCAGCCCCUCGCUUUACUGACCAGGGAUCAAAAGGUCAGAGCGCAGGGCCUCUGCUCUCUGCCACUGGUAGACGGGAAAGGCCAAGACCCUGCUGGGCCCUGGGGUGCGGCACAGCCUCAGCCACAGACAGGGCACCUGGUGGGUCUCGUGGACUAAAAAGAAUGACCAGAAAAUCCAUGGUCUCGCCCUUGGGGUGUCCAGGUGAUGGUCGGCAGUAAGAGCCAGCGGGGGUGGGAGGGGUCCAGGAGCCCAUGUGCGAGGCUGUCAAAAAAGAGACGCCCAGGAGGGUGCACACAACCGGCUGAGGGCUCAUUCUAAGGGAGACUGAGCUUCGGGGCAGGCAAGGGUGGUGAGUGGUGUGAACAUUCUCCAAGUUCCCAGCAAAGAAAAGCCUGUGACCAUGUCAUCACAGUCAGGUUACAUGCAGCCUCCCACGAGCGGGUGGGGGUCCAGUGAGCAACCCCAGGGCAGCCUGCCUGGACCAUGCAGGAUCAGCUGGAGGUGGUGGCCGCCAGGGAAAGAGCCCCAGGCACAGAAGCCACCAAGAAGCAUCUGUCCCUCAGAAAAGAGGACCUCGGUCUGCGUUGACUCCUCAGCAAGGGGAACAGUGAAACACAGGCCUUACAGCUUCCAGUUUUGGGGAGGGAACCAAAAAGGUGGUGGGGCCCACUGGCGGUCUGCAGGGAAGGCCUUCGGGGGCUGGUGUGGGCUCGACGGUCCCCCCCCCCCCCGCCCCGCCCAGACUCCCUUCUGGAAGGACUGAGACCCGCCCAGAAAAACGCUGCUUAGGGUAGGACCCAAGUUAAACCAGGUCAGAAACAGGCUGAGAAGAGAAAUAUGGGUUACAAGCUGGAGAAGCAGGCAUCCAGCAGCGGCUGGGCUCAGGCCCAGAAGCCUGCCUUCCCAGGGGCCCUCAAGCUGAUGAAAAGAGACCCCCACCCACCCUGUUCCAUCUGGGAGCCUGUCCUAAACGUUUAGCAAAGUCCACCUAUUUCAACAAGAGCAGGGGAAAAGGAUUAGAUUGUAUUGUAAGAAAUAUUGCAAGAAAUGCGUGAAGAUGAAUAUCUGAAUCACAAGCAGAGAAGCCAUAGCCCAACAGGACAGGCCCAGAACAGGUGACAGUGACAACCUACCUGGGAUUACAGAUUAAGAAGUGCUAAGUGAUCUCUGGAAGCCAUGAAGGAGCAGCAUAAUCAGAAAAUGUUAAAUAACCUGGCCAGACAACAGCAGGUGUAUCAAGAGCCGACAACUUCGGAAAGAGUCAAAAACCAUCUUAGAAGCAACGGCUAAAAGAAACAAGGUGCCAGAGAAAGUGCAGUCACAGGAAUGAAACCAGAGAGAG